CCUACGGGACGCAGCAGUGAGGAAUAUUGGUCAAUGGACGAGAGUCUGAACCAGCCAAGUAGCGUGAAGGAUGACUGCCCUAUGGGUUGUAAACUUCUUUUAUAAAGGAAUAAAACGAGGCACGUGUGCCUUUUUGCAUGUACUUUAUGUAUAAGGAUCGGCUAACUCCGUGCCAGCAGCCGCGGUAAUACGGAGGAUCCGAGCGUUAUCCGGAUUUAUUGGGUUUAAAGGGUGCGUAGGCGGACUGGAAAGUCAGCGGUAACAUCGAGAGGCUCAACCUCUUUCCGCCGUUGAAACUGUCGGUC
rnacentral:rRNA from 1 species